UACGGAGGGUGCAAGCGUUAAUCGGAAUUACUGGGCGUAAAGGGUUCGUAGGUGGUUAAUUAAGUUAUCUGUGAAAUCCCCGGGCUCAACCUGGGCAGGUCAGAUAAUACUGGUUAACUCGAGUAUGGGAGAGGGUAGUGGAAUUUCCGGUGUAGCGGUGAAAUGCGUAGAGAUCGGAAGGAACACCAGUGGCGAAGGCGGCUACCUGGCCUAAUACUGACACUGAGGAACGAAAGCGUGGG
rnacentral:rRNA from 1 species